GAUGAACGCUGGCGGCGUGCCUAAUACAUGCAAGUCGAGCGAACAGACGAGGAGCUUGCUCCUCUGACGUUAGCGGCGGACGGGUGAGUAACACGUGGAUAACCUACCUAUAAGACUGGGAUAACUUCGGGAAACCGGAGCUAAUACCGGAUAAUAUAUUGAACCGCAUGGUUCAAUAGUGAAAGACGGUUUUGCUGUCACUUAUAGAUGGAUCCGCGCCGCAUUAGCUAGUUGGUAAGGUAACGGCUUACCAAGGCGACGAUGCGUAGCCGUCCUGAGAGGGUGAUCGGCCACACUGGAACUGAGACACGGUCCAGACUCCUACGGGAGGCAGCAGUAGGGAAUCUUCCGCAAUGGGCGAAAGCCUGACGGAGCAACGCCGCGUGAGUGAUGAAGGUCUUCGGAUCGUAAAACUCUGUUAUUAGGGAAGAACAAAUGUGUAAGUAACUAUGCACGUCUUGACGGUACCUAAUCAGAAAGCCACGGCUAACUACGUG
rnacentral:rRNA from 1 species